rnacentral:sRNA from 1 species
UAACAGCGAUCGGUGUGUCAGAUGUAGU